GAUGAACGCUGGCGGCGUGCCUAAUACAUGCAAGUAGAACGCUGAAGGAAGGAGCUUGCUCUUUCCGGAUGAGUUGCGAACGGGUGAGUAACGCGUAGGUAACCUGCCUGGUAGCGGGGGAUAACUAUUGGAAACGAUAGCUAAUACCGCAUAACAGUAGAUGUUGCAUGAUAUCUACUUAAAAGGUGCAAUUGCACCACUACCAGAUGGACCUGCGUUGUAUUAGCUAGUUGGUGAGGUAACGGCUCACCAAGGCGACGAUACAUAGCCGACCUGAGAGGGGGAUCGGCCACACUGGGACUGAGACACGGCCCAGACUCCUACGGGAGGCAGCAGUAGGGAAGCUUCGGCAAUGGACGGAAGUCUGACCGAGCAACGCCGCGUGAGUGAAGAAGGUUUUCGGAUCGUAAAGCUCUGUUGUAAGAGAAGAACGAGUGUGAGAGUGGAAAGUUCACACUGUGACGGUAUCUUACCAGAAAGGGACGGCUAACUACGUG
rnacentral:rRNA from 1 species